UACGUAGGGUGCAAGCGUUGUCCGGAAUUAUUGGGCGUAAAGAGCUCGUAGGCGGUCUGUCGCGUCUGCUGUGAAAUCUCAGGGCUUAACCCUGAGCUUGCAGUGGGUACGGGCAGACUAGGGUGCGGUAGGGGAGACUGGAAUUCCUGGUGUAGCGGUGAAAUGCGCAGAUAUCAGGAGGAACACCGGUGGCGAAGGCGGGUCUCUGGGCCGUAACUGACGCUGAGGAGCGAAAGCAUGGGGAGCGAACAGG
rnacentral:rRNA from 1 species